AUUUUAAACAGAUCAUCAGGGACUCCCCUGGGGGUCCAGUGGCUAAGACUCCACACUCCCAAUGCAGGGGGCCUGGGUUCAAUCCCUGGCUGGAGAACUGAUCCCAAAUGCUAUAACUAAAGAUCCC